GGCACUGGAGAGCCCUUGAGCAGAGAAGGCCUGUGUCCCCGGUGGCAACUCGGUUGGGCCAACUGUUCGCGUGUUCAGCCGAAUUCCAGGCCAGAAGGAGGACGGCCUGGCUCUGCUUUGGGAGCACCUGCUCUGGGGACAGCUCCAGCCAGAGGUCACCUUGACCUACAAGCCUCCCCGCCCUCUGACUGACUGCUGUGCUCCUCAGCUGACCUGCAUCCCAGGACUCUGAGCCUGCGCACGGGCCCCGCCCCAGAGCGCCCCACUCACGCUUCCACUCAUCCAGCGUUCGAUCCACGUCGUCGAAGGACUCGUCAUACUUCUGGGCCUUGGGCUCGUCCUCUGUGUCCUGCAGUGACUCGAAGUAGGGGUGUGUCAGCGCCUCGGCUGCAGUUACCCGCUGCUCUGCAUCCAGCACCAGCAUUUUCUCCAGGAGGUUCACGGCUGCGAAUAGGAAUGGUCAGGCCCCGGUGUCCUGGUCACUGACCCCACCCCCCCACCCCCGGUCCAGCCCUACCCAGAGGGCUUGCAUUCGUCAGGAUGGAGGCAAAAUCUUUCUUCUCCAACUCAGGGAGGCCUUUCAUGUAGUUCUUCGCCUUUUCAGGAAGAAAGGGUAAGGGGCCGGCCCACAGCCCCCGCCCAGCCCUCCAGCCCCCGCCCAGCCCUCCACUGACCUCGGCGCUCUGCAGUCUCUGCACAAAUUCAUCAGGAGGCGUCCCGGUCACCUUCAUGAUCUCCUUCAGCUGGUCCAGGUCUGUGCUGAGACCAGCAGUGGAGGCUCCUGGCAGUCUGACACCUUCCACACCCAUAGGCCAGAGGAAGCCCCCACCCAGCACCAGGACUCACCCUGUGGAUGACGCCAGCAGCAUGGAUGUACUGUGGGGACAGACACAGGAUCAGUGGCAGUCAGCUCUGGGCCCUCAGAACCACAGACCAGCAAUCCUACCCCAGUCCCAGCCUGGCCUGGGGGGUUCUGCCCCUCCUGCAGCACCUCCGGUGUGCCCCCACCUUUAGCCCCUUCAGCAUCUGGUAGACAAGGAACUGGAUUCGGUCCUCA